AUGUUGAACCUUAGCCGCCUCUCUCUCCUUUCCCCACUUCUCUGUCGCCUCUCCUCCCGUGGCCUUCGGCCAGCCGCCGCCGCCGCCGCCGCGCGACCUCUGCUCCUCCCCGGCGUCGAACUCAGGCCGCCGCUCCGUCCCCUGUCCCCGUCGCACCUCCCCUCAAGCCGCCGGCUGGCCCUCUCCCACUCGUCCUCCUCCCUGCUCCCAUUCCUCCCUUGUGGGAACCCUAGCCGCUGCCCACUCCCACUCGUCCUCCUCCCCGCUCCCCUUCCUGGCGGCGCACCUGACCGCCGCGCGACCUCUGCUCCUCCCCGGUGUCGAACUCAGGUCGCCGCUCCGUCCCCCGUCCCCGUCGCACCUCCCCUUGAGCCGCCGGCUGGCGCUCUCCCUUCACCGGAGGAGUUGGGUGAGGCCGUGAGGAGCGGAGGCAGUGGCUUGUUGCAGACGCUGCUGCGGCUCCCUUUUCUUCCUCGCCAUCUUCUUCGCCUCCCUCCUCUGCACCCAAGUAAUGCGGCCAGCCCUCGUCAACCCCGGCUAGCGGAUUCAUUAGCCUUCUACUCCAAUCGCUACCCCGAGAUCCAUCGUUGUUGUGUUGUUGCUGGUGAGAGCUAG
rnacentral:rRNA from 1 species